rnacentral:lncRNA from 1 species
CCUUUCCGUUGGUGUGUCAACAGAAUCGUCAAGUUCAGACAUUCCAGAGGUUUUUAUUUGUUCAUUAGAAUGUUAGGUCUGCAACCCUGGUACACAGGGCAUGGCUCUUUGGGAGCUAAAGAGACCCCAAGAGAAAUGGUCGUCUAUUGGUUCAGCACCAUUCUAGGUUCCAUAGUCACUGAAGUAUCAUUGGUUAGUGCACCAGCCUGGACAGACAAUUUUUUUUCUAGGGAUUCUCAUGGGCCGUUGUCAGACGACUCACUGAGGGUUUUACCGGAUGUGAAAGGUACCAUCCAAAGACUGGGAAAAGACACGUGGUGGUCAUCUUCUCAUCUCCAGAGAUCUAUUCUUACUUGGUUGAAAAGCGCAGAACAUCGUCUACAGAAUAAGAGAAUGGUAGUGCCUUGGAAUCUCUAUGACAACUUUCAGUUCCUGUCAUUUUUAAUUUUGAAAGUUCCAGUCGAGCUGUCGUAAAGGCAGCGAUGCUUCAUAACCCCGUGUG